UACGGGGGGGGCAAGCGUUGUUCGGAAUUACUGGGCGUAAAGGGCUCGUAGGCGGCCAACUAAGUCGGACGUGAAAUCCCCAGGCUCAACCUGAGAACUGCGUCUGAUACUGGAUGGCUUGAAUCCGGGAGAGGGAUGCAGAAUUCCAGGUGUAGCGGUGAAAUGCGUAGAUAUCUGGAGGAAUACCGGUGGCGAAGGCGGCAUCCUGGACCGGCAUUGACGCUGAGGAGCGAAAGCCAGGGGAGCAAACGGG
rnacentral:rRNA from 1 species